ensembl:lncRNA
UGACUCACUCACAAAAUAUUCCCGAGUGGCUGCUUCACUUCAGAUGCUGGAACACUGCUGUAGAACCAGUCUCCAGUCAACAGAUGAGAUGUCUGCCCAAAGGGAGGACAGAGAAGGCAACAAAUGGGAGAACUAACAACAAACACUACACUUAUAGAUGAGGACAGUAGGGAGGAAUUCACAGGAAAGCAGGAAGGAUGCUUGGGUGUAUAUCUCUGUGAUAGAGAGGAGCAGAAAAAGAUAAAUUAAGGGCAAUUCUCUCCAUGGCUCUGGGAAAGAAGUCUGGGUAGAGAACUGAGACAUGAUCCUGAUGUCCAGAUGGGUCUUUAGUAGACUGGCUGGCUGGAAAAAGUCCUGGGUUGGACAUGGGAGAAGAAACAAGCUGGAUGCUGAAGGACACGCCAGCCCAACAGACCUUUGGAUUUCCAUGAAGCCUCAAGGGAAAAGCUACUAAGCCCAAAUGAGAUGGAAGUUGGCUCAUCCGUAGUGUCGCCUGGAUCUGGGAAUGACUGAGGAGUUCAGGAUACAUGGGGGAAGUAUGAAACUAACCAAGAUGGAGAAGUAGGAAGAAUCACCAACGCAAGGCUCUUUCCAGCCAGAAUGGUUGAAAGAAUAAUAGGAAAGAGAAGGGAGUAUGCCAGGUUGCCCAGUGAGCAGGGCUGAUGGAUGAAACAAGAUUCUCAAAAUCAAAAUGAGGGAAGAUGCUUCCUACAGAUGUAUUCUAGAAGCUGAGGAUAUGAUGCAGUUCCUCCUGUAAAAAGAACAUUGUGC